GGCAAAGGAUGUUAUUUUUGAGUUUUCCCCGCAAGUCACACUCACGGAGACUAAGAGUUGUCAAAGAGGAGGAUAAAUUCAUCAAAGAAUUAGGUCUGAUUGAGGACAUAUUUGUCUGAUCCAGAAUAAGUUCCCUUAACUGAGUUAGGUUACCAAUGACUCUUUUCCAGACUGGAGCUUUGAUUAAGAGCCCAUUCUUAGAAAGAUCAAGUGAAACCAGUGAAGACAACUGGGAGAUUUCAAACGGGAUUUGGCCAGAAAAUACGGAAUAAGAAAGGUUGAGAUAAGUCAAACUCUUAAAGUUGCCAAACUCAGAAGGAAUUAGGGAGCCAUUGAAGUUAUUGUCAGCGAGGUUCAACCUCCUGAGAUUGGGAAGAAAAAACAGGGUACUGUUGGAAAGAAAGUGGCCAAAAAGCCAGCUGGAAGUAAGGUCCAGGCCAACCACAUGGCUUGUGUUUUUGUCACACUUGACCCCAUCCCAAUUGCAACAGUGCUUAUCCUCCUGCCAGCUGGCUGUUUUAGGAUAAGAAGUUUGUGAGUCAGA